AUCGAACGCUGGCGGCAUGCUUUACACAUGCAAGUCGAACGGUAGAGGGGCAACCCUUGAGAGUGGCGAACGGGUGAGUAAUGCAUCGGAACGUGCCCAGUAGUGGGGGAUAGCCCGGCGAAAGCCGGAUUAAUACCGCAUGAGACCUGAGGGUGAAAGCGGGGGAUCGCAAGACCUCGCGCUAUUGGAGCGGCCGAUGUCAGAUUAGCUAGUUGGUGGGGUAAAGGCCUACCAAGGCGACGAUCUGUAGCUGGUCUGAGAGGACGACCAGCCACACGGGGACUGAGACACGGCCCAGACUCCUACGGGAGGCAGCAGUGGGGAAUUUUGGACAAGGGCGCAAGCCUGAUCCAGCCAUGCCGCGUGCGGGAAGAAGGCCUUCGGGUUGUAAACCGCUUUUGUCAGGGAAGAAAUCUUCUGGGCUAAUACCCUGGGAGGAUGACGGUACCUGAAGAAUAAGCACCGGCUAACUACGUGCCAGCAGCCGCCGUAA
rnacentral:rRNA from 1 species